UUGAAACACUGUUUCCUGUACGAUCACCGAAGUUAAGUAACAUCAAGCCUGGUCAGUACCUGGAUGGAAGACCGCUUGGAAAUACCCGGUGUU